CACCUGGACCCAUAUUUACUAAAGUUCGUAGACGUAGACGUAAACGUAGGAUUUACGUCUGACUUAAGAUUAGAGUUACGUACUCGUGAAAUGGUAUUUACAAAACCGUUCGUAGCCGCAAACGUAACUUACGAUGUACGAUUGCACUUACGCGUGCGCAAUGGCUAUUUUCACUUCGAAGCGUAAAAAGUGUGAAUUUGCUCAUUUACUUUGAUUUCCCUGCGCUACCGCCGCAUUAUGACGGAAAAGAACACAGAACUUUGUGAGAAAGCAACGAAUUUCAACGUAUACGUAUGCCUGCCAACGGCAUGUCGAUCAACUGUACCGUUAUUCAGUGUUGUUUACAAAUCCAAAUGGAAGGUUCAUCAAAUUUAACGCAUUUGACUUGUGCAUGGAUCUGCGAUGCUGUAGGUGUUCAAAAAGAAGUCGGCAUGGACUGACAAGGUCAUAAAGGUGGUCAAGAAAUAAAUUGCCAACAGACAGCAGCAUUCCUUGAUUUAGAUGCAUUUCUCUUCAUGUCCUCUCCUGAAAGAUUUUCCAUGAUGCCUCAGGGUUAGGAUUGGGAUGCAAGAUGUACAGUACAUAUAUAUGAUGUCUAUGGGUACAUUGCUGUAAUGGCCUGAAAAAUCUUUUGCGAAACCGAGAAAUGUUCAUCUUCCAUUGCCUUGAUUGUGUAAAAGGACGAGCAGAGGAAUGAUUCAAAAAUAUAUGGCAGGAUUGAGAAUCUAACCCAUGACCCGUAGUCUGGUACUCUACCCACUGAUCAAUCCAUGCUGAUGGUCCAUCUGCUACAUUUAUGUCAUCUUAUAUAUUUAUUUAUUCAUUUAUAUCAUAUGGACAUUUAAAAAUUGACAGUAAAAUAAAAAAAAGUUUGAUAUUCAGCAAAAUAGAAUUUGUUACAAUACAUGUUUAAGAAAUUAAGUACAUGUAUAUGCAUUGUUAUGCAUACAAUUAUGUACAUGUAAUUGUAUUUGUUAAUAGAUAACUUUUUAGAUGAAUUUUCAUGUUGUUAUUGAUAUUGACAUGUACAUGUAUUACUUCCAUUUCUAGAAUGAUUUUAACAUCUUGAUAUUAAAAAGAUGACAUAAUAAAUAAAUCUUAAAUAUUUGUCAACAAA